UAAAUUUCAAUCUUUUUGAGAGCUUUAUAAAUCCGAAUGUAUAUUUAGUUUAAAAAUAAAUUCAGGCCAGCAGCUCUAGAAUAUUAUCUACCCCCAUGCCCCAUACUCAUUCGGUGCGGUAGCUGCUGCGAAUUCGGUGCGUUGUCCUGGCGUCUGGCUGCCGACGAUGCCAAUGCCCAUCUACCACGUGUAUAACUUAUUUAUGAGGCUUUUACAUACAACUACAAAGAGAUACGAGAGACAGAGAGCCCAAAGGCUGAGCCUGGUAUAUUUGGUGGCUGUGACUCUGGCCAAACUGGUGAACAUAAAAGGCAAAGGCAAACGGCAAUGGCAGUUGAAUCAGUCGCAGCAUGACCAAAAUAUUUGCAAAUGGACUCAACAACUUGGCCCGAAACAUGUCCUUUGUGUGCGCUUACACAUGUGAGUUGAAUGGGCUGACUGAGCUGAAUGAGUUGCGUGAGUGUGUUGAGGUUGAGUGCAGAGUAGGGUCUGGUCACUGAAAGCAUAGUUUUGGCAAUUUCUUUUCUUGUUCGUGGGUACACAGAAUAAUUGCGUAUUUCUAUGUGUGUACGUAUGAGUGGGUAUGGCAUAUCGGGGCGACAGACUGUCAUCCUUUUUCUGCCACUGCCAGAGUCUUGUCUUGUGGCCAUGAAAUGGCAAUGGCAAUGCCAGCCAUUAAAAAUGUAGAGUAGGCGGCUACGUUUUUUUUUUUUUUUACGGGUAAGCGUUGUGUAAAUUUGCAAACUCCAUGACAUAAGCAUAAAUUCUUCGGCCCGCUCGCCCUUUUCACACUCUGGGCUUAAGGCGAAGCUGUCAGCCACAAUAGCUGGCCAAGAAAGUUGUGUCUUCUAAGUGCACCGCCCGUUCUGUCUAAGUGCACCGCCCAUUUAAACCUCAAGCAUCUAUUGUAAAUUAUUUUUUCGCCGUAAAGGAGCUUAAAUAAAUUCGUAAUUAUUUUAAA